GCUCCUUUGCCGUAUCUACCUACUUACAUAUGUAUGCAACCUCUUUGAUAUUGGGUUAUGUAAACUGACCUAAUGUAAACGUGACCACAUUUAGUCCAUAUUAAUUAAAAGUUAUAAUAAAGGAUCUAGUAAUAGAUGGCUGUGUUUAGUUUUGAUUUGUUAAAAUCACUAAAAUAAGUUAGCAUUAGGAUUAAAGCCGCAAAAUUGCCAAUUCUCACGUAUAACAAAAGGAAAGUUAAAUAUUAUAUUCAUAUUUUAGAGAACAAAUAUCUAGUCGUUUAAAAUGUCAAAACUUAGAUGCGUACAUAAGUUAAAUGGAACGAAUCCUCUUAAUUCACGGGCUUUUCUCGAGUGGAGGUAGAUUAUACCUACGUUACGCUUAAGUGUUGGUUACUUAAAUAAAUGGCCUCCUCACUGUGGUGUAGUUCAAAGGUUUAGUUUAUAUUAAAAUACAUUUAUUACUUGGCUUACUCACAUCUUAUAAAAAUGUUUAGUAAUAAUGUAAAUGUCUUUUGUUUCAGACUAAAAGUGUGCGCACCGUCACGUGGGCGUUUGGGUUGACACCAUUUAGCGUCUUAUUUAUCAAAGUAUCCGUAGAUUUUUUUUAUAAUCGCGUCCCAAAGAAACUCCUGACAAGCUUCUAUGACUGCGGUAUUGGUACCCACUUAUCGUUGAAAUCGGAUCAAUUGGAAUGCAGCAUAACUGCCUUGUCCUCGGUGACACCCCUAAACUCGCCGAUGCAGCGGUUCAUGUGCACUGAAAAUAUAUUUCUAGAAACAUGCCACGUAUUUUCUUUCAUGCAUGUUUAAGUGAAGAGAAACCGGCCGUGAUGCCAACUUGUUUUGGAACUUUAUUGGUUUAUGCCAGAAUUUCUGAAGUGGAGGUAUUAUUUUAGUACAAAAGGGUGAGCAUUAAAAUUUGUUAUGAAGAUGGCAAA